GAUCCGUAACUUCGGGAAAAGGAUUGGCUCUGAGGGUCGGGUUCGGGGGUCUGCGUCCAGACCUCGGCGGGCUGUCGGCGGUCUGCCCGAGCUGCUCGCGCGGCGAGGGCGGACUGUUGCGUGCCUGUCGGGCGAAGGGCGUAGAAUGCCGGUGCCUCUUUGGGGGCUCCCUUCGCGAGGGGUCUCUUUGGAAACGUCCUUCCCUGGCACUAAUUCAAAUUCCUUAGAAUUUUUAG
rnacentral:ncRNA from 1 species